AUUGAACGCUGGCGGCAUGCCUUACACAUGCAAGUCGAACGGCAGCACGGGAGCAAUCCUGGUGGCGCGUGGCGAACGGGUGAGUAAAGUAUCGGAACGUGCCCAGUCGUGGGGGAUAACGUAGCGAAAGUUACGCUAAUACCGCAUACGAUCUAUGGAUGAAAGCGGGGGAUCGCAAGACCUCGCGCGAUUGGAGCGGCCGAUAUCAGAUUAGGUAGUUGGUGGGGGAAAGGCUCACCAAGCCGACGAUCUGUAGCUGGUCUGAGCGGACGACCAGCAACACUGGAACUGAGAGACGGCCCAGACUCCAACGGGAGGCAGCAUUGGGGAAUUUUGGACAAUGGGCGAAAGCCUGAUCCAGCAAUGCCGCGUGCAGGAUAAAGGCCUUCAGGUUGUAAACUGCUUUUGUACGGAACGAAAAGGUUUGGCCUAAUAAGCUGAGCUCAUGACGGUACCGUAAGAGUAAGCACCGGCUAACUACGUGCCAGCAGCCGCCGUAA
rnacentral:rRNA from 1 species